UGUUAAAAAUUUCAUCCAUUUUCACUGUUAAAAACUGGCUCUAAUUUUUAAUAGUGGAAAUGGAUGAAAUUUUUAACA
rfam:Gossypium raimondii Chr10_contig_22, whole genome shotgun sequence.